rnacentral:rRNA from 1 species
CUUCCGUAGCGUGACCUGCGGAGGGAUCAUUGCUGGAACGCGCCCCAGGCGCACCCAGAAACCCUUUGUGAACUUAUACCUUACUGUUGCCUCGGCGCUAGCUGGUCCUUCGGGGCCCCUCACCCUCGGGUGUUGAGACAGCCCGCCGGCGGCCAACCUAACUCUUGUUUUUACACUGAAACUCUGAGAAUAAAACAUAAAUGAAUCAAAACUUUCAACAACGGAUCUCUUGGUUCUGGCAUCGAUGAAGAACGCAGCGAAAUGCGAUAAGUAAUGUGAAUUGCAGAAUUCAGUGAAUCAUCGAAUCUUUGAACGCACAUUGCGCCCUCUGGUAUUCCGGAGGGCAUGCCUGUUCGAGCGUCAUUUCAACCCUCAAGCCUGGCUUGGUGAUGGGGCACUGCCUGUAAAAGGGCAGGCCCUGAAAUUCAGUGGCGAGCUCGCCAGGACCCCGAGCGCAGUAGUUAAACCCUCGCUUUGGAAGGCCCUGGCGGUGCCCUGCCGUUAAACCCCCAACUUCUGAAAAUUUGACCUCGGAUCAGGUAGGAAUACCCGCUGAACUUAAGCAUAUCAAUAAGGCGGAGGA